rnacentral:rRNA from 1 species
UACGGGGGGGGCAAGCGUUGUUCGGAAUUACUGGGCGUAAAGGGCGCGUAGGCGGUUUGCUAAGUUGGAUGUGAAAACUCUGGGCUUAACCCAGAGCCUGCAUUCAAUACUGGCAGGCUAGAGUUCUGGAGGGGAUAGCGGAAUUCCUGGUGUAGCGGUGAAAUGCGUAGAUAUCAGGAGGAACACCGGUGGCGAAGGCGGCUAUCUGGACAGAGACUGACGCUGAGGCGCGAAAGCUAGGGGAGCAAACAGG